GAAAUGCGAUAAGUAAUGUGAAUUGCAGAAUUCAGUGAAUCAUCGAAUCUUUGAACGCACCUUGCGCCCCUUGGUUAUUCCUCGGGGCAUGCCUGUUUGAGUAUCAUGAACACCUCAACUCUCAUGGUCUUCCAUGAUGAGCUUGGACUUUGGGGGUUUGCUGGUCCUGUGGCCGGCUCCUCUCAAAUGAAUCAGCUUGCCAGUGUUUGGUGGCAUCACGGGUGUGAUAAUUAUCUACGCUCGCGGUCGUCUGCCAGGUAACCCUCAGCAAUGAAGGUUCAUUGGGGCUCAUAAACGUCUCUCCUCAGCGAGGACAACUUUUGAACGUUCGAUCUCAAAUCAGGUAGGACUACCCGCUGAACUUAAGCAUAUCAAUAAGCGGAGGAAAAAGAAACUAACAAGGAUUCCCCUAGUAACCUGAGACUGCCAA
rnacentral:rRNA from 1 species